rnacentral:lncRNA from 10 species
CAAGAAGGCAGCAUCUAUAAGCUAGGAAGGAGGCCCUCACCAGACUUGGAAUCUGCUGGCUUCCUGAUCUUGGCCUUUCUAGCCUCCAGAACUGAGAGCCUGGGCAGGUUUUCUAUUCUCCUGAGUGGAACCAUCAGACUUUUCUUGAGGGAUUGGCCCUCUAGUGAAGAGCAUGGAGUGGACUGGGCCAGGGAAAGAUCCUCAGAUAAUCCUUACAUACAUCCUAGGUUUGAGGAAACUGUGAGGACAUCUAAGUGGCAAUUUCCAAAAGGCAGCUGAAUUAAUGUGUCUGGAGAUAAGAAAAAGACUAGAAUGAGGUGAAGCCAGAAAGGAAGAGUCAUAAUCAAAGAAGAGAGUGAUCAAGAAUCCAAAAUAGACAGAGAGAGCAGGCUCUUAGAGAAAUGGGAGAACUACCGCACUGACUCUGCACGUAGGAGACAGGCAGGAGAGGAGCGCCCCAGCCAGAGCUCAACAUGCGCAAACAGGAAGUGUGUCCGAGGUUUUCUGGAGCUCACAGGAGCCGGGGACCCACAGCCAGACGUUUAUCUGAAAGAAAAGCAGACAAGACAAACUAAAUCAGCAACCAUCCCUUUGGAUGCCAGCUGACCUCGGAUGGAGAUUUAGUGCUAGAUGUAAAAGGCUUUGUUUACAGACAAUUAAAAACCACAUAAAUUUAAAUUGUCAAAGAAGAAAUGGUUUCCAAAGCUUCUAACAGCCUGGUAGCCCCUCCUCAGCCCUGUGCAGGAAAGGCCCAGAGGCAAAUACAAAGCCACCAACCCAAAUGCCUGUGGAGUUUGCCAGAAAGCCAGAUCCUGCUGCUUCUGCUGCUUGUUACUGAUGUUGAAAAAUAAAAUCUUAUACAGCUUCAAAUGUAGGUUCUUUGAGUGCUAAUCAAACAGCAAGAAGGCAACAGAUGACCACGGAGGAGGUGGCUGCACGAAAGUACGCCACAAAGUAUGGAAUUACUGCAAGUAGGCCUUUCGGCAAUCAAUGUGUCUGAACCUUUUGUGUGCUCUCCAUUUUUUCCCACCGAAGGAACUAGAUGCAAAGAUUAAAAAGUGACACAAACACAAACGAUCGUCAGACUUAGAGCCUGAAAUAUUCUGAAUGUUCUUAUCUGUGUAUUUUACUUCUUCCCGUCAGCCAUCAGGCAAAAGGACUGAAGCUCCAGACAAGAGCAGCUCCAUAGGAAAAAACAAAAACAAAAAAACACCCUUCCAUGUUUGCAUCAAUAUUUGGUGCUGAUGUUGAUGAAUAAGUAAUGAUGUGUAGGUGUUGAUAACAUUUAUACACAGCCCUGAUUGGUUCUGACACAGGUGCUCCAUGGAGGAUGAGGUUUACAAGCCGAAAACGGUCAGGGGAAAGCCAUGGUUUCGGGCUGUCCCUCACAGAUGCGGGAUUUUGCACCUGUGUUUGAAGUUGCUCUUUCAUUUAGUUUCUCUGCAGAAAAGCCAGGCACAAUGUUCAAACUGGGAGCACCUGUGUUUGGGGCCAACUUGGACUAUUUUGUGGCCUGAAAGUGGUCUCUUAGAUCCAUUACUUAAACUUAACAAGAAAACUUUUUUUUCCCCUUGGAGUUUUAAAAUUGGAGGUUAAAAAAAUUAAGUUAUGGAUACACAUAUUAGUCUCAUCACAGGACCAAGCAUAUGCAAAGUGUUGUACAGCUUACUUACAUUAUUCAAGGACUUGAGUGAUAAAAGACAAAUGCCAUUAAAAAUUGGAUGAGCCCCGAAACCCUGCUCAUCGAUUGAAAUCUUUGUUUAAAUCACAAGGCAAUUUUCCUGUUAGGGAUGCGACAUUUAGGCACCAGAGUCAACUCAAAUUUAAUACAAUCUUAUUCUAUUCUAAUUUAAAGGCAGAAAUUGAACAUUGUUUACAGCUAAAUUAAAAUUU